rnacentral:rRNA from 1 species
AGUGAACGCUGGCGGUAGGCCUAACACAUGCAAGUCGAACGGCAGCACAGUAAGAGCUUGCUCUUACGGGUGGCGAGUGGCGGACGAGUGAGGAAUACAUCGGAAUCUACUUUUUCGUGGGGGAUAACGUAGGGAAACUUACGCUAAUACCGCAUACGACCUACGGGUGAAAGCAGGGGAUCUUCGGACCUUGCGCGAUUGAAUGAGCCGAUGUCGGAUUAGCUAGUUGGCGGGGUAAAGGCCCACCAAGGCGACGAUCCGUAGCUGGUCUGAGAGGAUGAUCAGACACACUGGAACUGAGACACGGUCCAGACUCCUACGGGAGGCAGCAGUGGGGAAUAUUGGACAAUGGGCGCAAGCCUGAUCCAGCCAUACCGCGUGGGUGAAGAAGGCCUUCGGGUUGUAAAGCCCUUUUGUUGGGAAAGAAAAGCAGCAGGUUAAUACCCCGCUGUUCUGACGGUACCCAAAGAAUAAGCACCGGCUAACUUCGUG